rnacentral:rRNA from 1 species
GACGAAGGGGGCUAGCGUUGUUCGGAAUUACUGGGCGUAAAGCGCGUGUAGGCGGUUGUUCAAGUCGGGUGUGAAAGCCUUGAGCUCAACUCAAGAAAUGCACUCGGUACUGGAUGACUAGAGGACCGGGAGAGGAUAGUGGAAUUCCCAGUGUAGUGGUGAAAUACGUAGAGAUUGGGAAGAACACCAGUGGCGAAGGCGACUAC